AUAUUUACUUUGUUAGACAGUCCAGCAAAUGCAUCUAAUUGCUGAUAUGGUGCUUCUGUAGAUAAUUUUACUGGUUGGGACAAAGCUACAAGUCAUUAUAACCAAGAUGGGUUUGAGAAUUCAAGAGAGAGAAAGGCUUUCAACUGGCCUUCUUUGUGUGGACUUGGCAUCAAUUUGGGUUAAAAUCUUGCUUUCAUGAGAAGUUGGAAGAUGUGAUCAUCCGGAUAACUAUGGGGGUCCUCAUACAGACACCAUGCAGCUAUGUGACUCUUCCUCUAUAUGCUUUGGUAACACAGAUGGGUUCGACCAUGAAGCCAACAAUCUUCAACGAAAGAGUGGCAAAUGCACUACAAAAGUGGCACCACAAAGCAAAGAAAAACAUAAAACAGAAAUCAACAUUCAACCAGUACGCCAGAAACCCCAAUGCAUUCCAUGUCUCCUGUCCAUCUCCUUCAUCACUAUCAAGGUGAAAUAGACAGCAUUCAUAAACCACAAAGGAUGUCCAAUUUCAAUAAUGAAGGUAGGGAUACGAAUGGCCCCCAUUCAUCCUCUCACCACCAUGAUCAAGCAUCAUUGCCUAAGAACCAGAGAAACCAUGGACAAGAAGAGAGUGGUGCUCAUGUGCCGAGCUCCACACAUUCUCCUUCAUCUCGUCAUUCAUUUCGUUCAGCACGAAAUUGACGUUCACUCAAUAGAAUUCUCAUUUGACAAUAGCUAGAUUAAAAGAUUACAGAUAAGUGGAAAAAAAAAAAAAAAUCCUAUAAAAUAAAGAGGAAAAGGAUACUGUAGAGAGAGAUCUAGAGGUCCGCUGAGACUUUGGAACCAGGAGACAAUCACCAGCCUGCCUAGCAGCCAUUCUGUAGGUGUGGCGACACUCUGUAUCUUUGUAACUUUGUUCAUUUAUGUACACCAAUCAUAGACUGAAAAAUGACAAUCUCAACUUUAUGUUUUCUGGAAAGAUUUCUAGUUGAAGAUAUCAGCAUCGUCAAAGUUCACAAUGGUAUUUAUAGUUUCA